AGUCACUGACUAUUUAGACUACCCGUGUAGUCCCAGCCGUAAACUAUGCGCGUUAGGUGUAUCGGUGACCACGAGUUACCGAGGUGCCGAAGGGAAACCGUGAAACGUGCCGCCUGGGAAGUACGGUCGCAAGGCUGAAACUUAAAGGAAUUGGCGGGGGAGCACAACAACGGGUGGAGCCUGCGGUUUAAUUGGACUCAACGCCGGACAACUCACCGGGAACGACAGCAAUAUGUAGGCCAGGCUGAAGACCUUGCCUGAAUCGCUG
rnacentral:rRNA from 1 species